UUAUAUAUAGCGUGGAGAAGUGGAACAUCCAUGGGUGAAAUACACUUCUCAACAAUUAAAAAGAUUCCAUCACACCCCUUCCCCCCUGUCUUAUACAUGCUGAGUAUGCUCACGGUAUGAUAUAUAAAAUCAACAGCAUGCGUGGUAUGGGCCUGCAUUUAUUAUUUGUGAUUCAUUUUUCUUUUCAUUAAGCGAGAGAGAGAUCCUUCAGUUCAGAUCGAUCUUUAACUCUAGCUAUCUGAUGUCUGGGUCUGACCCAGUACUGGUCGCGGGUGGCCUGAGCCCUGGUCAUCAUCUAUGGAAACCUCAAGCAGAGUUUGAUCAGUAUACAUAUGCCUCCUUGAGAAAAGGCCCCCCAGUUAUAAGCAGUGCCGGAAGUGCAGUUAUCGGCACUUCAGUUUAGAUAUGAUGGAAAGUAGUGCUCACUUCUCAGAAUCUGUCAAUCAGUUGAAUUUCUUAGCCCUGUGGCUCCUUUGUGGUUGAGCCGGCCUGAAUUUGUAUUGCGUGGCUGGCUCUCUUCUGAACAUCAGUCAGAAAAUACACGGAUAAAUGUAUAAAGGCGGGUGGGGGCGCGGCGGCAGUGCUGAAACGACUAUGUACUAUGCACAAAUGAAGUGGACAAAACAGGGCAGGACCGCCUUCGUUGAGCCUCAAGUAGCUUUCUUUGUCCGCUUCCUAUAUUAGAUAAAUUAUAAUUUCAGUGACAAGGAAAUGACCAUAACCAGCUUACCAAGAGAGAAGCUUGAAAAUUCUGUGUGUAAACCUUCUUGUCAGUUUUAAAUUUAUUAGUGAAGUAUAAUAAGUUUUAGAGUUAUUAAAAAUUUA